AUUGAUAUUAUAUAUAAUAGAUAAUAACAUUGGAUAUUUUAAUGAUAUAUUGACCUCCGACCUGUAAAUGUCCCCGGUUUUAAUUUCAGAAAUCUGGUCACCUUAACUUAAAAUCCCAUGACUAAUGUACUGAUGUAGCUCCAUGGGAGGAGUGAAACCUGCAGACCUUACUUUGUUUACAAACAUUGGAGUAGAACAAAAACAUCUAUUUUGGGAUCUGAUGGCAGUUGAACUAUAUUUAUGAGGCAUUUAUAAAUGAUAUUCUUCAAGCAUCCAUAAGUGGAUGUAUCAACUGCAGAUUGUCCAUUUAAAGGGGUCGGACCUGGUCAUGUGACCGGGCAAAAGCAGUAACAGACGAGCGCCCUUCUCCAAUCUGUACCACAUGACACAUUGUCAACAAGAAAGAAACAUAAACCUUUAUUUUCCAUAAAAUGUUCAAACUAUUUUUCCUUAGGAAGGCAGAUAAAGCACAUCUACAAAACAAAUGGAAUCACUUUCCACCCAAUGCAAACUGCACCCACCCAAACGAACACCGUCAGUCUGGGACAGAUUCCUCGUCAUCAGAGCUGUAGUGGAUGAUGUCAUCUAGGUCCUCUUCCAGGAGGUCAUCUAUGAAGUUAUCUUCUAGGAGGGAGGUGUCUUGGCCCAUAACUUUGCUGUAUACCAGUUUGACAGAGUCCUGGUGUCCUGCUGACUCUCCUCUGAAGCAUGGAGAAGAGACCUCUGCUCCCAGCUUCCGACUGAUUCAAUUGCCAACCUGACACCAACAAUCGUAAUGUGUCGGGUCAGGUGCCACAUGUGAAGCAAGGUCUUGCACAUUCUCCGAUUCCCUCUUUAGGCUUUCCCAGUGCUGCUGGACUUCCUUUAGGACAAUUACCUCUUCCUCCUUCAGCCGUCUCAGGAGCAUCACCCGGUCAAAGGCUAUUGUCUUUCUCCCGAGGACACUCAGCUCCCGAGGACACUCAGCUCCCGAGGACACUCAGCUCCCGAGGACACUCAGCUCCCGAGGACACUCAGCUCCAGAGGACACUCAGCUCCAGAGGACACUCAGCUCCAGAGGACACUCAGCUCCAGAGGACACUC